UUAUACAUUGAACAAAAAAAUGGAAGUCAUGAGUAGUAUACUGGGAGGCAUUCAAAUACCAUUUCGCAGAGGGAGCCUUAUUUAACCUUAUCGCAGCCCCCAGUAUCAAGUCCGGCCCUCACAGGCUCGGGCCGGACUUCAUACUCGGGGCUGCGAUAAGGUUAAAUAAGGCUCCCUCUGCGAAAUAGUAUUUGAAUGCCUCCCAGUAUACUACUCACAAGAGAGGCACCCCCGCGCAGCGCCCCGCCACGCGAGGUGGCCGCGGCCACAACAAAGGAGUGCGCCAUAUUAGAAAUGCGCGAGCCCGGGGUGUUAUACCACCAGAGCGGGGAUGGAACGAGCGCCAAACAAGUGCGGGUGGCUGAAGCGGGGCCGGAAAGAAAGCUGCGGGCUUUCCGAGGCCAUUCAAAACCUCCCUCCAGAGUUUCGUGAGAUGAUUCUCAAGGAGUACAUCGCAAUAAAAAUCAAGGGAAAAAAGGAAAUGGGCUGGGAUGAGGAACAUGACGAGAUUGAAGAGGCACCCAUUUGCGAAAAACGAUCAAGAAUUGUAAAGGUCAUGUUUUGCCUUAAAUGCAACUCAGAAAAACCGGCGAUAAAGGGCCGAAAAAACACCUCCCUUCACCUGCCAGCAGCAGACACUUGGUGAAGGGGAGGCGUUUUUUUUCACUGUUCCGAAAGAGCUCAAGCGAGGCGGAUUACGAUGGGGAUGUUGCCAAACGCGUUGCGCUCACCAAAACCAACAAAGUCGAUGAAAGAAGCUUUCGAAAUCCGGUCAGCUUCAGCGCUCACAGAAGAGAACGACCAGGCGGCAAACUGAUUGUUAUAUUUGUCAGCAAGCACCAACACAAGGCUAUCGUCCCAGUCGUUGCCGCCACCAUGACCAUACAAGAUGCGGUAAGCAUGGCAGGGGAGAGUUCUGAAAGGGGCGACGGGCGGCUCAUCAAAAACGGUGCGAAUGGUGAUUUCGGGUGACCAGUCGAUAGAUUGAGGAAUGACAGGCAUCUCCAUUGCGGAUAACAAAGAGAGGCAAAUGUUUAAAGGGGGGUGAAGCGAGCUUAAACAUGAUGGAGCGGUUGCCCCACUCGUUGGGCUCGCUGAGGCCGUUGUAGAGGACAAACUUGGCGUUGCCGCGGAGCUCGAGAGCUCGAGAGAGGGGCGAGCCGGGUGUAAUAUGUCUGGAGCCGGGAAGGCACGAGCAUGAAACAAGUGCACACCAGUUAAAGAAAUGUAACCGGGGUUAUAUUCCAAGGAACCAUGUCUUCCCGAGGACUUUCCAAGGCCAUUCAAAACAUCCCUCCAGAGAGACUUUCUGAGGCCAUUCAAAACAUCCCUCCAGAGCUUGGGGAGAUAAUUUACAAUAAGUAUAUCAGGAUAAAAAGAAGGGAAAGAAAGUCAAUGGGCUGGGAUGAGGUGCAUUACGAGAUUGCUGAGGCGCCCUUUUGCGAAAAACGAUCAAGAAUUGUUAAGGUAAUGUUUUGCUGUAAAUGCAACUCUUGCGGCCUAAAAGGACUCUGUUACGAGUGUUAUAAAAACGGA